rnacentral:rRNA from 1 species
UAAUACGUAGGGGGCAAGCGUUAUCCGGAUUCAUUGGGCGUAAAGCGCGCGUAGGCGGCUUGUUAAGCGAGAUGUGAAAACCGGGGGCUCAACCCGCGGCCUGCAUCUCGAACUGGCAGGCUUGAGUCUGGUAGAGGAAAGUGGAAUUCCGAGUGUAGCGGUGAAAUGCGCAGAUAUUCGGAGGAACACCAGUGGCGAAGGCGGCUUUCUGGGCCACGACUGACGCUGAGGCGCGAAAGCUAGGGGAGCAAACAGGAUUAGAUACCCUGGUAGUCCUAGCCGUAAACGAUGGGCACUAGGUGUGGGGGAUCAUAGACGUCUUCCGUGCCGAAGCUAACGCAUUAAGUGCCCCGCCUGGGGAGUACGGCCGCAAGGCUAAAACUCAAAGGAAUUGACGGGGGCCCGCACAAGCAGCGGAGCAUGUGGCUUAAUUCGACGCAACGCGAAGAACCUUACCAAGGCUUGACAUGCAGGUGAAGCGACGGAAACGUCGUGGCCGAGAGGAGCCUGC